UACGGAGGGAGCUAGCGUUAAUCGGAAUUACUGGGCGUAAAGCGUGCGCAGGCGGUGAUGUAAGACCGAUGUGAAAUCCCCGGGCUUAACCUGGGAACUGCAUUGGUGACUGGCAGGCUUUGAGUGUGGCAGAGGGAGGUAGAAUUCCACGUGUAGCAGUGAAAUGCGUAGAGAUGUGGAGGAAUACCGAUGGCGAAGGCAGCCUCCUGGGCCAACACUGACGCUCAUGCACGAAAGCGUGGGGAGCAAACAGG
rnacentral:rRNA from 1 species